rnacentral:lncRNA from 1 species
GCGGGAUUCCGCCAGCCGCGGCUGCUGCUGGAGCCGGUGUCCGGGCUGGUGAUGGGGUUAAUUCCCUUUCGUAAGACUCUUACUUGCACCCACCCAGCCCCGCCGUCGCCCCGCCGCGCCGCGCUCCAGCCGCCUCCUCCUCCUUCUCAGUAACGCGGGAAUCUAAACCUUUGAGUGUUGUUUAUUUCCCAGAGCAUGAUGAGAUGG